UCUGGGACCCCUCCCCCUGACGGGGUGGCCGAAAAGGCCUCAGUAUGAAAGCGGUAUGCUCAGAUUGAACACUAUUGUAACAUUUUCACAGUAUCACAGUAUCACACAUCCCAGACUUUUCCGUCAUUGCUAGACCUCUUUAUGACUUACAAAGAAAAGGGGUCAAAUGGGAAUGGACAGCUUCUCAGGAAGAAGCUAUGCGAUUACUAAUUUUUGAAGCAACAGCUCAUCGAGCCCUUGGUCCGAUUCACCCUACAGACCCUUUCAGGUUGAAUGGGAGUCUGCUUUAUCAGGUUUAUCAAUUCAUAUAUGGCAGAGAGGCCCUGAGGGUCCAACCCGACCUGUGGGAUUUUUCUACCGUGGUUUUAGGGAUGCCGAGAAGAGAUAUACUGCCUGGGAGAAAGGUUUGUUUGUUGUUAGCCUAGCUCUGGUAGAAGUAGAAAAAAUUGCACGACAGCAGCCAAUCGUAUUAAGAGGCCCAUUUAAAGUCAUAAAGACAGUCACUUCUGGGACCCCUCCCCCUGACGGGGUGGCCCAAAAGGCCUCAGUAUGAAAGCGGUAUGCUCAGAUUGAACACUAUUGUAAUAUUUUCUUAGUAUCUGAAGGAGCUUUAAAAAAUCUAGCUAUACAAGAAAUUGAGAACUUGGACGAUGGCCAAGAUAAACCUGCCACAGUAAUCCAAAUCGCACCUCCCUUUUCCCAUGAUCAGUCAGUUAGUACUUGGUUUACUGAUGCUUCUGCUAAAAGAGAAGGUGUGGAAAUACAGGGCAGCAGCACUCCAUACCUCUUCCAAUGAACAAAUUAUAACAGAGGGAGAGGGUAGUGCACAAGUAGGUGAAUUAAUUGCAGUAUGGAGUGUCUUCCAACAUGAAGCACAAACCGCUUCUCCUGUCCACAUUUAUACUGACUCUUAUGCUGUGUUUAAGGGCUGUACUGAGUGGCUUCCUUUCUGGGAACAGAACGGAUGGGAAGUUAACAGGAUUCCAGUGUGACAAAAAGAAAAAUGGCAAGAAAUCUUAAGUAUUGCUAGAAAGGAAAAUUUUGCUGUGGGCUGGGUAGCUUCUCAUCAGGUAGAUGGGUGAUACGCAGGAGAAAGGAAUAACCGAGCUGAUGAAUUAGCAAGACUGGCCCCUGUACAAAAGGACCAAAUUUCAGAAGACUGGGAACGCUUGUUAGAAUGGUUACAUGUAAAACGCAAACACACCGGAGCUAAAGACUUGUAUCGUGAAGCUCUCUUCUCGGCAUCCCUAAAACCACGGGAGAAAAAUCCCACAGGAAAAGAACUGGUGAAAGCUGAGAAUGCUGAAGUCAUAAAUAAGUGUAAUAAUAAGUGUAAUAUCAGUCCUUUUACUGAUUCGUGUCCGCCUUUACCGCCUUCUACCCCUCUAACUCCUAGAAAAGAGCAGAAGGAGUUGCCGGAUAAGAACUGGGCAAAAGAACUGUGUGAAAGAUCAGAUCAGCUAUUAGCGAGUGAAUCCAACAGUCAGCAAUGCGGUCAUGCUGAUCGUGACGGGAAAGGGGAUGUGCCGAGAGAAAAAUUCCAUCAGAGUUCCAAACCCGAGCGGACGGAGGAAGGAAUGCGGUCGACCCAAUAUGAGUGAUAAGCAUACCUCAACUUUAUUGAUGCACUAAGCUGGUUUAUAUAAGACUUACAAUAAUUAUGCAUACUUGUCAUCUAUUAAUUGGAUAGUAUACAGUAAUUAUGCCUACUCGUCUUCUAUUAAUUGGAUAGUAUACAAUAAUUAUGCCUACUCGUCUUCUAUUGAUUGGAUAGUAUACAUAAUGAGCUCAACCUUCUUGUGGUUUCUCUGGAAUGCAACCUCCUCACCCUGCUAGAGAUAAUUCCCCAGCUUGUUUAUCUAAACGCUCAGCUGAACCAGAGAGCAACCGCUCAGUACUUUUCCACUAUGCUACACCAAACUCAUGCUAACUGAGGCCUACUCAUGCUAACUUAGAACAGAAUUCUCCUGAUACAACGGAUCAAUAGAGCCAUGCCCCUUCUCUAUUAGCCAUGUCCCAACAAUUCCCCCUUUUUCUCUUUGGGCUAAUAACACUUCCUUGCGAAAAGUAGCAUCAAUUAUCUUUAAGCAUAAUUGCCUAAUACAUGAAAGACAACACAUACCAAUAAGCAAUAUAAGCAAAAUAAAAGCAAUUCCUACCAAUACUGGUUUAAAGAAUGACAACAGCCAUGAAGGAAAACCUAGCGAGGCCCACCACCUAGCGAUUGGAAAGCUAAUCGACAAGAUGCAUUAUUAAAGGGUAAAUGAGCUAAACAAGCAUCAGGUUCCCCCGUACAAUUACAGUUGUUCCAAACAGACACAUUAUACAGUCCUGUAAGCAUCUCAAUAGAUUCAUUGACUGAUAAAGGUAUUCCAAUUAGACACGUCUUGAAUGGCUCUUGAGCUGAAGCGAGACUCAGACAGAAAUUAGGAUUGUGCGUCUUAUUGGCCCAAGUUAACCAAAUGUUCUGUUGCUUCAUCAACAAAUGCGGAACAGCCGUUGCACCAAUGACAGUCAAGAUAAAUACCAUCAGUCCUUUAAUGUUGGCCGAGUCCAUUUUGCAGGUACCCAUCUUGGCCCUGUAGGAGUAAGUACACACAUGUAUCCUCUGCCAAUGUAUUGAACUUCCGCAGGCCCUUUCCACUGUCCAGUUUCUGGGUCUCGAUAAAACACCUUCAUUUGAACAGUUACUUUCUUUGAGAGACCUGAAUGCACUUUUACUGGUGGCUCCUCAUCUGAUCCAAAUAUACAGAGGUAAUUUAAAACAAACAAUGUUUUCAUAACCCUUUCUUGACUGUCCGUGAUAUCUUGAAAUUUCUGCAAAUAUUGCUUCAGCGUUUGAUUCAUUCUCUCUACAAUUGCUUGUCCCGUUGGGGAAUGUGGAAUCCCUGUAACAUGUUGUACUCCCCAUAACUGACAGAAUUUACGCAUCUUCUCACUACAAUAAGCUGGCCCAUUAUCCGUUUUAAUCUGUGCUGGUACCCCCAUUACAGCAAAACACGCCGUCAAGUGACGAAUCACAUGACUAGCUUUUUCUCCUGCCUGUGGCGUUGCCCAUACAAAAUGACUAUAUGUAUCAACUGUAAUAUGUACAUAUUUGAGCCUACCCAUUGAGGGCACAUGCGUCACGUCCAUUUGCCAUAUCUCAUUAGGACCCAACCCCCUAGGAUUAACUCCUACACCUAGACCAGAACCAUGAUGACUACACUGAGGGCAAGUCCGUACAAUUCCCUUAGCUUCCUCUACAGUGAUCUUAAACUGUGAAUGUAAUCCUUUCGCAUUCUGAUGGAACACACUAUGUGAUUCUCUAGCCUUGACAAAAUCACUAACAGGGGCAGAACAUGCUACCAACCUAUCUGCUCUAGCAUUCCCUUCCCCAAGGCCACAAUCCCACAUAUGACUACGGAUGUGAAUCACUGCAUAUGGUUUUGUUCUUCCUUGAAUUAAUGUACGCAACUGUCUAAACAGUUCUCCCAAGCGCAGUUGCUUAACAUCCUUAAUCUGAGAAUCUUCUAUCCCGUGUAACACACCCGCGACAUACAGCGAAUCGGUCACAAUAUUAAUUGUUUCCUCUCUCCACUUCCCCAUGGCCCAUACAACAGCAGCAAGCUCCAAUGUCUGCAAGGAAUCUCCCGGAACAGCUUCCAGCAAGUGGUGGUGCCACUCACCACAAGCGAUCCAGGAGACAAGGAUAUAGUUGUAGCUGAUGAGAAUAAACACUCACACAACUCCUCGCUAUUCUGAAGGUACCACUCUAUUGCUUCUUUUUUCAUCGGAACAUAUAUUGUCUGCAACUCUUGCCCUGUGAUCUGAAUUACACGCUUCCUACCCUUCCUUAUUAAAUCUGCUAAAGUUUCGACCUUUUGCUGUAUUGACUUUCUUGGCUGUAGCUUUGGAAAUACCCAUUCAAGUAUCCCAAGUUCCUCUCGCUCCCCUUUUUUUUCUUUGUGCUGUGUAAGAGCCCCAAUUAAAUGACCAUCUGUUUGAAAAACAGAAAAAUCUACAGGUAUUGCAGGGUCACGUCUCCUUGUAAAACCCAAUGUGAUUAAGUGAGCUAAAUUCUGGAUCAUUUGUUUUUGCUCCAUAGAGAGAUCCACCGGAGUGGAGGGAUCGGUUCCACGCAGCAAUGGUCGUAACACCUCUAACUGCGUAUUGGUAAUACCCACGACAGGCCUUAACCAUUGUAAAUCCCCCAUGAGUUUCUGAACAUCAUGAAGUGUCCUAAUAUCUGUGGUAAUAUGCGGUUUUUGCGGUCGAAUUUGGGAGUCGGUAAUUUUCCACCCUAAGUACAACCACGGUUCUUGUCGCUGAAUUUUUUCCUUAGCAAUUACUAAACCCUCCUUAUACAACUGACAAUGUAAAAAUUGCAAUUGUUGCUCAGUAAAGUCUUGUUCUUGUGCAAUAAGAAUAUCAUCCAUGUAGUGAUACACCAUCGCUGUAGGCCAGGCAUCACGAAUAGGACGCAACGCAUUGUCCACAAACAAUUGACACAAUGUCGGACUAUUUUUCAUUCCUUGCGGUAACACAGUCCACUCAAACCGCUGAGCAGGAGCUUCCCUAUUUAUUGCUGGCAAAGUGAAGGCAAAUCGCUGUGUAUCGAGGUGGUGCAAAGAAAUAGUAAAAAAGCAAUCCUUCAAAUCCACAAUUAACAACUUCCAGUGUUCAGGAAGCAUUGCCGGAUUCGGAAGACCAGGUUGUAAUGCUCCCAUCGGUUGCAUUUGUGCAUUUACAGCUCUCAAAUCAUGAAGCAGUCGGAACUUUCCUGAUUUUUUCUUAAUCACAAAUAUAGGCGUAUUCCAUGGGCUUGUUGACAGUUGCAAAUGUCCUUGAUCAAACUGUUCUUGUACCAACUGAUGUGCUGCUGCAAGACUUUCCAUCUUUAACGGCCACUGCUCGAUCCAUACAGGGUCAUCUGAAGUCCAUUUAAGAGGGAUCGGGAAAGCCCAUUUUGCAGUGACCGUUAGCGAAAAGCCCUUUCAGUUGUCAAAACAGCUCCUAGCUGAUCCAAUAUAUCUCGACCUAUUAGUCCAUUUACACCUGCAGGAAGAGUCAUUACUGUAACAAAUGUAUUGGCUUUUCGCCCGUCUAUGAUGAACAGGAUACGUUCAAUACUUUGACGUACUGAUGAAUGACCUCCUACUCCUUCAACGCCCCCGUCCAUAAGUUUUGUUGGCCAAUCCUGAGGCCAGGCGCCCUCAUCUACGAUGGUCAAAUCAGCCCCAGUGUCCAGUAACAUUGUAAGUAAAAUAAAUUGUCCUCUAGAUUCCAUUCGAACUGACGCAGUUGGUCGCCGAUUCAUUGACAUAGUUAGCAUCACAGCAGGUCCUGUCGAUCCAAAUCCACCACCUCCUCUUUCUGAAGAUAAUGCUGGCGUCAUGUCCUUUGUUAAUUGCGGAAGUGGUAUCAAUUGUGCUAUUUGACUACCCUUCGGAAUGAAAAUCGGAGGAAACAGUGUCUGAACCAUAAUUUGUACAAUCCCUUUGUAAUCGGCAUCAAUAAGUCCCGGGAUAAUCGUAAGGCCUUUCAUACCACUCGACGAACGACCAAUUAACAAUGCCCCUUGUGAUUGUCCAUUAAUUAUUAAAGGUCCUUUAAAGGUG